UACAGAGGUCUCGAGCGUUAGGCGGAAUCACUGGGCUUAAAGCGUGUGUAGGCGGAUCGUUAAGUGCCUUGUGAAAUCCCACGGCUCAACCGUGGAACUGCUUGGCAUACUGGCGGUCUUGAGCAACCUAGGGGCGAGCGGAACAAAUGGUGGAGCGGUGAAAUGCGUAGAUAUCGCUUGGAACGCCGAAGGUGAAAACAGGCUGCUGGGGUCGCGCCGACGCUGAGACACGAAAGCCAGGGGAGCAAACGGG
rnacentral:rRNA from 1 species